GUCGUCAUCACGUCGCUGCGGAAGGAGCUCCGCGUCCGGGACACACCUUCUCACGCGCGGGUGCGCCUCCGCAGUUGCUAGGCGGCCUUGGAUACCUGUCCGCGGGAUGCUGGGCGACGUCAGGUGAAGAUGGUGGUCACUGGGCCUCAGGUAACCAUGGAGAAGGAGGUUCGGAGCACCAUUCUUUUCAAUGCAUACAAAAAGGAGGUAUUUACCACCAACAAUGGCUAUAAAUCCAUGCAGAAAAGACUUCGGAGUAAUUGGAAGAUUCAGAACUUAAAAGAGGAAAUCACAUCUGAGAAGCUAAUUGGAGUGAAACUGUGGAUUACAGCUGGGCCAAGGGAAAAAUUUACUGCAGCUGAGUUUGAAGUUCUGAAGAAGUACCUUGACAGUGGUGGGGAUAUCCUUGUGAUGCUAGGAGAAGGUGGAGAAUCCAGAUUUGACACCAAUAUUAAUUUUCUACUAGAAGAAUAUGGAAUCAUGGUUAAUAAUGAUGCUGUGGUUAGAAAUGUAUAUUACAAGUAUUUCCAUCCUAAGGAAGCUCUGGUUUCCAAUGGAGUAUUGAACAGGGAAAUUAGCCGAGCAGCAGGAAAAACGGUGCCUGGAAUCAUUGAUGAGGAGAGCAGUGGGAACAAUGCCCAGGCUCUCACCUUUGUCUAUCCUUUUGGUGCCACUUUGAGUGUCAUGAAACCAGCAGUGGCUGUUCUGUCCACAGGCUCUGUCUGCUUCCCACUUAACAGACCCAUUCUGGCUUUCUACCACUCAAAGAACCAAGGUGGGAAGCUGGCAGUGCUUGGCUCGUGUCACAUGUUCAGUGACCAGUAUUUGGAUAAAGAAGAAAACAGCAAAAUCAUGGAUGUUGUUUUCCAGUGGCUCACAACAGGAGACAUCCAUCUAAACCAGAUUGAUGCUGAAGACCCAGAGAUCUCCGACUACAUGAUGCUACCUGACACAGCCACCCUGUCAGAGCGGCUCCGAGUGUGUCUCCAGGAGGGCGAUGAGAACCCACGUGACUUUACCACCCUCUUCGACCUGUCCAUUUCCCAGCUGGAUACAGCCUCCCUCCCCAAGGUCAUCAAGGCUCAUGAGCAGCUAAACGUGAAGCAUGAACCACUCCAGCUCAUCCAACCUCAGUUUGAGACGCCACUGCCAGCCCUUCAGCCUGCGGUUUUUCCCCCUAGCUUCAGGGAGUUACCACCUCCUCCUCUGGAACUGUUUGACUUAGAUGAGACAUUCUCAUCCGAGAAAGCACGGCUUGCUCAGAUCACCAAUAAGUGUACUGAAGAGGACCUGGAAUUCUAUGUGAGAAAGUGUGGGGACAUUCUUGGAGUAACCAGUAAACUACCAAAGGAUCAACAGGAUGCCAAACAUAUCCUUGAGCACAUCUUUUUCCAAGUGGUGGAAUUCAAGAAAUUGAACCAGGAACAUGACAUCGAUACAAGUGAAAUAGCAUUCCAGAACAACUUCUGAGGACCAUGCCUCGUGACGCAUUUUCUGCCUCCUGAUUCUUUCUAUUUUUUAAUUGUUCCUCAACUCCUUACCAAAGUGUCUAUACACUCCUCACAAGUUUUAGAAGGUCUGUGCAUCUUCUGUAGUAUUCAGAUAGAUCUGAUAUUCAUCAACGUCUGACAUCCUGGACCUCUGCUGCUACUGUGAAACCAGAUACAAAAUGGAAUGGGCAAGAGUUCCAGCCAUGAAGGGAUGCCUGUGGACCUGCUGUUCACCCCCAGAUUCAUUACCACCUCAUUGUAGCAUAGGACCCUAAUAAAAUUCCCCUCUGCUAGCUCUAUUUGGUUUGUUCUGCUUCUCACCCAGA